ACCAUAUGCAGUGGUGUGCACCUGCAAUCCCAGCUACUUGGGAGGCUGAGGCAGGAGGGUUGCUUGAACCCAGGAGUUCUGGGCUGUAGUGCACUAUGCAAAUUAAUCAGGUGUCCACAUGGCAUCAAAAUGGUGACCUCUCAGGACAGUGGGAGCCACCAGGUUGCCUAAAGAGGGGUGAACUGGGCCAGAUUGGAAGCAGAGCAGAUCAAAACUCUCUUAUUGAUCAGUAGUGGGAUCAUGCCUAUGAAUAGCCACUGUACUUUAAGUAACCUGGGCAACAUAGCAAGACACAGUCUUU
rnacentral:SRP_RNA from 1 species